rnacentral:lncRNA from 14 species
GUCCACCUUUUUUUUUUCUGUUUUUGUUUUUGUUUUUUUGUUUUUUUUUUGUUUUUUUGUCAACUUGGUGUUGGAUAACCAGUUGGGGUCUCAUACCCAGGAAGGACUAUUUUUCUCCUCUUAUUUCUCAGACUAUGAGAUGGACCUCGGUGAGAUUCCCCCCUUCCACCCUAGCCUCUCUAUUCAUGACUUCCAUUGAUGACUUCCAUGCUGGCCUGAAUAUGGAGCUCACUGGAUGGUGAAGCCUUCGGUUUUGAGCUAGAGCUUCAGGAUAGAGACACUAAGGCCUCUUCGGUGUGUGAAACGUCUACGUGCACACAAUCAGCAUUAGAGAGGAAAAAAUAUCCUUGCCUGAAGUAUGCAUUUUCUUCUAUUUCUAACACAUGCAAACCCAAUGCAGGUGCUGGCAAGCUGUUUGCCGGGGGCUCUGACAAUGAUGUAAGGAAGACCAGGGCCAACCGACCACCAUCUCCAAAGAGCGGUGCGGACCAUGUGUGGUGUGAACACUGCCUGUUUGUCCUUGCUGCAGUCCCAGUUAGCUGUGUGCUAACUGCACGAAUAAAGAACACUUCUGUGGAGCAACCUAACAUGUCUGUUUUCCAGAUUUCUGAAGAAAAAAAAAGCUUGAGACAUUCUAAUCUUAGCCAACAUUCUCGCUCAGCAUUGGU